AUUGAACGCUGGCGGCAGGCCUAACACAUGCAAGUCGAACGAGUGGCGGACGGGUGAGUAAUGUCUGGGAAACUGCCCGAUGGAGGGGGUUAACUACUGGAAACGGUAGCUAAUACUGCUUACCACCGGUUGUGCCCAGAUGGGAUUAGCUAGUAGGUGGGGUAACGGCCCACCACGGCGACGAUCCCUAGCUGGUCUGAGAGGAUGACCGGCCACAAUGGAACUGAGACACGGUCCAGACUCCUACGGGAGGCAGCAGUGGGGAAUAUUGCACAAUGGGCGAAAGCCUGAUACAGCCAGGCCGCGUGUAUGAAGAAGGCCUUCGGGUUGUAAAGUACUUUCAGCGAGGAGGCGGUACUCGCAGAAGAAGCACCGGCUAACUCCGUGCCAGCAGCCGCGGUAAUAC
rnacentral:rRNA from 1 species